ACGGGAGGCAGCAGUGGGGGAUAUUGCACAAUGGGGGAAACCCUGAUGCAGCGACGCCGCGUGAGUGAAGAAGUAUUUCGGUAUGUAAAGCUCUAUCAGCAGGGAAGAAAAUGACGGUACCUGACUAAGAAGCUCCGGCUAAAUACGUGCCAGCAGCCGCGGUAAUACGUAUGGAGCAAGCGUUAUCCGGAUUUACUGGGUGUAAAGGGAGCGUAGACGGCGAGGCAAGUCUGAUGUGAAAGCCAUGGGCUCAACCCAUGAACUGCAUUGGAAACUGUCUUGCUUGAGUGUCGGAGAGGUAAGCGGAAUUCCUAGUGUAGCGGUGAAAUGCGUAGAUAUUAGGAGGAACACCAGUGGCGAAGGCGGCUUACUGGACGAUAACUGACGUUGAGGCUCGAAAGCGUGGGGAGCAAACAGGAUUAGAUACCCUGGUA
rnacentral:rRNA from 1 species